rnacentral:rRNA from 1 species
AUGGACGGCGAGCGACACCUACUCCGCACAGUCCUGUUACCUGGCCACAUUCCAUGGAUCGACCGCCUGCUACUCCUGGAAACUUAUCUGGAAAAGCUGGCGCCGCCGAGAGUCAAAUUCUUUCACUGGUUGGCCAACCAGGACCGUUGCAGGACUGCAGAGAGGUUGGCCCACCCUGGACUGCAACAUCACCCUUGCUGUCUCCUAUGCGAUCAAGAGCCGGAAACGAUCCGCCACCUACUGCUGGAAUGCCCCUUCACUCGCCAAGCAUGGCACGAGGUCCUGGCCUGGCUUCGCAUCCCAGCCCCGGUACCCAACCGCGAGCCCUCACUCAUGGACUGGUGGAAGCAUGCUAAGGAAAACACACCGCUGAUCCUUCACAAAGCCCUGAAAUCCGUCGCGCUGCUCGUGCCCUGGAUGGUUUGGAAGCAUAGGAACAGCUGCGUCUUCGACAACGCAAUAAUCCAUGAAUACGCUUCUCGAUAG